AUGCUUCUCACAAGUUCAAUUCAAGAUCCAGUUGUAUUGCCCGGGGAGCCUGGAGGCGGGAGCAAUGCUGAUGGUCACCACGGCAGUGGGUGGCCGCCGGGAGGCAAUGCACUCGCCGGACGUCAUUCACUUCACCGGCAUUGGUGGCACCAAGGGCGACCACAACCUCCAUGUUGGCGUUGCGUUGUGUGCGCACGCGACAUAGUCUACGUUUUCAUAGAGGCAGAACAUUAUAUCAGCAUGCAUCGGGAAUAUUCUUAUGAUGGAUUACUUCUUUGGAGUGCAAACGAAGCUGGUGUACCUUGGGAGGUGAAGAAUAAUAAGCUUGAGAAAAUUUUGACAAUCUUAGUUUAA
rnacentral:rRNA from 1 species